GGAAGUAAAAGGUCGUAACAAGGUCUCCGUAGGUGAACCUGCGGAGGGAUCAUUACAGAGUUCAUGCCCUACCGGGUAGAUCUCCCACCCUAUGUCAUUAUUACUUUGUUGCUUUGGCGGGCCGUUAGGCUCCGGCCCGACUACCGGCCCCGGCUGGUAAGCGCCCGCCAGAGGACCCAAAACCCUGAAUAUUAGUGUCGUCUGAGUACUAUAUAAUAGUUAAAACUUUCAACAACGGAUCUCUUGGUUCUG
rnacentral:misc_RNA from 1 species